UUUAUUGGAGAGUUUGAUCCUGGCUCAGGAUGAACGCUGGCGGCGUGCCUAAUACAUGCAAGUCGAGCGAAUGGAUUAAGAGCUUGCUCUUAUGAAGUUAGCGGCGGAC
rnacentral:rRNA from 7 species